AUUGAACGCUGGCGGCAGGCUUAACACAUGCAAGUCGAGCGGGGGAAGGUAGCUUGCUACUGGACCUAGCGGCGGACGGGUGAGUAAUGCUUAGGAAUCUGCCUAUUAGUGGGGGACAACAUCUCGAAAGGGAUGCUAAUACCGCAUACGUCCUACGGGAGAAAGCAGGGGAUCUUCGGACCUUGCGCUAAUAGAUGAGCCUAAGUCGGAUUAGCUAGUUGGUGGGGUAAAGGCCUACCAAGGCGACGAUCUGUAGCGGGUCUGAGAGGAUGAUCCGCCACACUGGGACUGAGACACGGCCCAGACUCCUACGGGAGGCAGCAGUGGGGAAUAUUGGACAAUGGGGGGAACCCUGAUCCAGCCAUGCCGCGUGUGUGAAGAAGGCCUUAUGGUUGUAAAGCACUUUAAGCGAGGAGGAGGCUACUUUAGUUAAUACCUAGAGAUAGUGGACGUUACUCGCAGAAUAAGCACCGGCUAACUCUGUGCCAGCAGCCGCGGUAAUACAGAGGGUGCGAGCGUUAAUCGGAUUUACUGGGCGUAAAGCGUGCGUAGGCGGCUUAUUAAGUCGGAUGUGAAAUCCCCGAGCUUAACUUGGGAAUUGCAUUCGAUACUGGUGAGCUAGAGUAUGGGAGAGGAUGGUAGAAUUCCAGGUGUAGCGGUGAAAUGCGUAGAGAUCUGGAGGAAUACCGAUGGCGAAGCAGCCAUCUGGCCUAAUACUGACGCUGAGUACGAAAGCAUGGGGA
rnacentral:rRNA from 1 species